rnacentral:rRNA from 1 species
AAGGCCUGGCGCUUAAGGAUGAGCUCGCGGCCUAUCAGCUAGUUGGAGGGGUAACGGCCCACCAAGGCUAAGACGGGUAGCUGGUCUUAGAGGACGACCAGCCACACUGGAACUGAGACACGGUCCAGACACCUACGGGUGGCAGCAGUCGAGAAUUUUUCACACUGGGCGAAAGCCUGAUGGAGCGACGCCGCGUGGGGGAUGAAGGGCUUCGGCCUGUAAACCCCUGUCAUUUGCGAACAAGACUGGCGCUUGAACAGGGCGCCGGGUUGAUUGUAGCGAAAGAGGAAGGGACGGCUAACUCUGUGCCAGCAGCCGCGGUAAUACAGAGGUCCCAAGCGUUGUUCGGAUUUACUGGGCGUAAAGGGUGUGUAGGCGGUAAAGAUAGUCUGACGUUAAAUAUCUGGGCUCAACCCAGACACCGCGUUGGGUACUUCUUAACUCGAGAGGCAUAGGGGGAACCGGAAUUCUCGGUGUAGCAGUGAAAUGCGUAGAUAUCGAGAGGAACGCCAGUGGCGAAAGCGGGUUCCUGGAUGCCUUCUGACGCUGAGGCACUAAAGCUGGGGGAGCAAACGGGAUUAGAUACCCUGGUAGUCCUA